CGAGCCGGCCGGACGGUCGCGUCGAGGAAGCGAACCGCUUUCUCGCCGAGGAACGUCCGGGCUCCACAGGGCAGGAUGGUGGGUAACGCCCACCCGGGGUGACCCGCGGGACAGUGCCACAGAAAGCAGACCGCCGGUGCCGUAUCCGUACGGCUGCCGGUAAGGGUGAAACGGUGGUGUAAGAGACCACCAGCGCCCAGGGCGACCUGGGCGGCUCGGUAAACCCCAUCCGGAGCAAGGUCAAGAGGGGCCGCACUCGCGGCUCUGCGCGGACGACCGAGGGCUGCCCGCCCGAGUCCGCGGGUAGACCGCACGAGGCCGGUGGCAACACCGGCCCUAGAUGGAUGACCGUCGCCUCCGGGCGCCGCAAGGCCCCGAAGGAACAGAACCCGGCGUACAGGCCGACUCGUCCG
rnacentral:RNase_P_RNA from 1 species